rnacentral:rRNA from 1 species
GGGGGAUAUUGCACAAUGGAGGAAACUCUGAUGCAGCAACGCCGCGUGAGGGAAGACGGUUUUCGGAUUGUAAACCUCUGUCCUUAGGGAAGAUAAUGACGGUACCUAAGGAGGAAGCUCCGGCUAACUACGUGCCAGCAGCCGCGGUAAUACGUAGGGAGCAAGCGUUGUCCGGAUUUACUGGGUGUAAAGGGUGCGUAGGCGGAUUUUCAAGUCAGUAGUGAAAUCUGGGGGCUUAACCCCCAAACUGCUAUUGAAACUGGAGAUCUUGAGUGAAGUAGAGGUAGGCGGAAUUCCCGGUGUAGCGGUGAAAUGCGUAGAGAUCGGGAGGAACACCAGUGGCGAAGGCGGCCUACUGGGCUUUAACUGACGCUGAGGCACGAAAGCAUGGGUAGCAAAC